rnacentral:rRNA from 1 species
CCUACGGGUGGCAGCAGUGAGGAAUAUUGGUCAAUGGCCGGAAGGCUGAACCAGCCAUGCCGCGUGAAGGUCAGUGCCCUAUGGGCGUUAAACUUCUUUUGUGCGGGAGCAAUAAUGGUCACGUGUGGCCAGACGAGAGUACCGUACGAAUAAGCAUCGGCUAACUCCGUGCCAGCAGCCGCGGUAAUACGGGGGAUGCAAGCGUUAUCCGGAUUUAUUGGGUUUAAAGGGUGCGUAGGCUGUGAGGUAAGUCAGCGGUGAAAUGCCCCCGCUCAACGGGGUGAAGUGCCAUUGAUACUGGCUGGCUGGAAGGCGGAUGAGGUGGGAGGAAUGUGUGGUGUAGCGGUGAAAUGCAUAGAUAUCACACAGAACACCGAUUGCGAAGGCAUCUCACGAAUCAGCGAUUGAGGCUGAUGCACGAAAGCGUGGGUAUCAAACAGGAUUAGAUACCCGGGUAGUC